rnacentral:rRNA from 1 species
UACGAAGGGGGCUAGCGUUGCUCGGAAUCACUGGGCGUAAAGCGCACGUAGGCGGCUUUCUAAGUCAGGGGUGAAAUCCUGGAGCUCAACUCCAGAACUGCCUUUGAUACUGGGAAUCUCGAGUCCGGGAGAGGUGAGUGGAACUGCGAGUGUAGAGGUGAAAUUCGUAGAUAUUCGCAAGAACACCGGUGGCGAAGGCGGCUCACUGGCCCGGUACUGACGCUGAGGUGCGAAAGCGUGGGGAGCAAACAGG